rnacentral:piRNA from 1 species
CCUUACCUCAUUACUGUGAAGCGAG